AUCGAACGCUGGCGGCAGGCCUAACACAUGCAAGUCGAGCGGAUGAAGGGAGCUUGCUCCUGGAUUCAGCGGCGGAGGGGUGAGUAAUGCCUAUGAAUCUGCCUGGUAGCGGGGGAUAACGUCCGAAAACGGGCGCUAAUAUCGCAUACGUCGAGAGGGAGAAAGUGGGGGAGCUUGGGAUCUCAUGCUUUCAUAGGAGCGUAGGUGGGAUUCGCUAGUUGGAGGGGUAAAGGCCUAGCAAGGCGGCGAUGCGUAACUGGUCCCAGAGGACGGGCAGUCACCCUGGAACUGAGGAUCGGUCCACACUCCUGCGCGGGGACGCAGUCGGGACUAUUGCACGAUGGGGCAGAGCGUAAUCCAGCCAUGCCGGGUGUGUGAAGAAGGUCUUCGGAUUGUAAAGCACUUUAAGUUGUGAGGAAGGACAGUAAGUUAAUCCCUUGCUGUUUUGACGUUACCAACAGAAUAAGCUCCGGCUAACUCCGUG
rnacentral:rRNA from 1 species